UCCCCCUUUAUAAGCACAGUUUCUGAGUAAAUUCAGGGGGUAGGGGGGUGGGCUUGAACAGGAAACCCGAGUCUUGUUCUCCAUUUAAUCUCUCUCGCCAUCUAAGUCUUUUUCAGCCCCAGCCUGCCACCCAGGUGUACCAGGCUCAUGUAAGCCGCGGGCUGGCAUAUAACACAAGAAUAUGAGCUCAACUUGGUACCCAGUACACAUAGAACCAUCUGAAGUUGCCUCAGAGAGCAAUGGUUGUAUGGCAUGCCAGCUAAGAACAGAGAGAUGUGUUGAAGUCCACCACAUAGAAGAAUUUCUCUUGUGAGCCCUAUUUAAAACUCAAGACUAUCAGAGUUACAGAUCUUUGUUGGCACAACUCCAGGUUGAAUUCUGUACCAUCAGCUAUUCAAGGACUCCAUUAGAAUACUAAUUGCUUCCUCCAAUAUGUAGCCUUUGCCUGAUGAAAGUUCUCUUGCUCUGAAUAUAAUGGAGUAUCACUUGGAAGUGACAACUUACUGUUCUGUUGAGGUACACAUAUUCAAACUAAGAACUAUUCAAUAAAAAAUGAGGUCUUUUUUCAUUAAUGUUUAGCAUUUCAUUAUAACUUCUUGGACUGUAGCUGUGUUUGAAUUCAUCUUUUAGAUUGUAUUGUCUACUCAAGAGUUUUUGUUAGUCAUAGAUAAUCGAAACAUAUUUUAGCAAAUGUCUUUGAUAAGCCAGCCACCAUCAACUACAGUGACAUCCUCCCACUCUGUCAAUAACCUCUAUGUUAUGCUUCAAAUGACAAUAUACUACAUUUGCAUUCUU